rnacentral:rRNA from 1 species
CGUGUAGGCGGCUGAGCAAGUCAGAUGUGAAAUCCCUGGGCUUAACCCAGGAAGUGCAUUUGAAACUGUUCAGCUUGAGUAAGGAAGAGGGAAGUGGAAUUCCUGGUGUAGAGGUGAAAUUCGUAGAUAUCAGGAGGAACACCGGUGGCGAAGGCGACUUCCUGGUCCUAUACUGACGCUGAGACGCGAGAGCGUGGGGAGCAAACAG